GAGGGGAAGAGAGAAGGCGCGUGAGGCUCCGCCCAAGCUGUUGGCGUGACCCGGCGGCCUGUGAGCGCGUGGUGUGGUUCCGUCACCCUCCUCCCUCUCCACUGAGGGGAGAAUCGGCAUCUUUGUGAUGGGGGACAAGGGCGGUGUCUCCUUCCUGAGGCAACGUCCGGUGCCGGGCGGAAGGGAACAGCCUGGGCUAGUGUUGGCACCCAAGGAAGCAAUACAAUAUCCAAACACAGGAGCAGUUCACAGAUAUUGAGAAUCCUAUCAAGCACCAUAUCAAAUAGGAAAUCUAUAUUCACUAGUAACAUAAUCCCAGCAACAGUUGUCACAGAUAAUGGCUCAGGUAAAGCAAGUAGAAAACAGCUACUAACAGGGAUUUUGUAGCUAACUGGCUGGCUGAGUGUCCAUAAAAGGGAGCUACCCUCCCCUUCAUUUAUCACAAUCCCUAUGGCAACUACAGCAAGGACAUGAAAAGUGGUAAUUCCAACUUUGAGCACCAGAGGUAGAUGUUUUCCCAGAAAACAUCCAACAAAUAUUCUCUUUUUUGAUCAUCACUCUCCAUUACACCGCAUUGAAAUCUCUAGAGAUAUUGGUCACCAAUAGGAUUAUCCAGCUGCUGCCUCUCACUACCUUGAAGUCAGGUAACUAACUAGCAGUUCACGUUAUCUGCUUACCAGAAUCAGCACUAAAAACAAAGCAAUGUAUACAGAAAUUUUCAGCUUGAAAGCAAUGAUGUAGUCAUUUUGUUAAAUAAAUUCCUGUGUGUUCCUGUUUAAGCAGCAAUGUAAUGUCCAGAAAACUGACUUUGCAGAAAGGGAUGACAGUCACAGUAGUUCCUUACUAAGCACUUACCCUGCUGCAAGCACAGAACUACCAUGAUAGAAGCUUCUUUGCUGCAGUCACUGCCUGAGUUGCUAAUAGAAAAUGGUUACUAGUGACUAAAGCCCCAGAAGUUGGAUCAGGGCUGGGUAGCAGUAUUUAGAAGGCCCUGUUAUGGGAGUUCAAUUCCUGCUUUAGUUUUUUUUUUUUAAUUUAGCUGAGAGAGAGGGGUCUCUGUCCCUUUUCCUUUGUCCCUUUGUCCCUUUCCUUUGCCAUCAUGUAGGAAGUUACAGGUGGGUGUGAGGGCUAGGAGCUGCAGAAGUAGGGAAGAAAACAGGUCAUGAGUGGGAAGUGUCCCCCCUCCACAAG